GUUUAAAAACCAUUUUUCUUAAAAAAACAGAGAGAAGCUCUCUCUCCCUCAUUCUCUCCGGCCAAGGGGCCGGUCUAGGGCUCCGGCGAACCUCCGCCGAGGCACCACCGCGUGUGGCGGCCGGAGGUUCAAAAUGGAACAUUUCCGGUUCCUUUUUGAAGCCGAAGGCCUCUUAAACACGGAUCCAACGCCGAAUCCUGUGAAAGGUGAGCCCAACCCCGCCAAACGAGGAGUAACCGUCCGUCUCCUCCUCCUCCGGCGCGGCAUAGGUAAGGUUUUCUUCUUCUUUUAUUUUUUCGUUUCCCUUUAUUUUUAUUUAUGUAUGUAAAACAAAAAAAGAAUAUGAAAAACGAAAUAAAAAAAACGAAAAGAAAAGAAAGAAAAAUAAAAGGAUUCACCUUAAAUCUUUUUUUUUGUUUCUAUAUUUCUCUGCUAAUAUGCGUUACAAAGGUCGAAAAAAGAAGAAGAAAAAAGAAGCCCCUGAAAUUGAGUUACAAUCGGCUUUUAUAGCCCAUUUUUUGUUACUGUUUUUGAUAUAUUUUUUCCUUGCUUCUUUCUCCUUUGCAGAUGCCAGUGGUGAUGGGAGCAGGUGGUGGUAGGUGCGGCGUGGAGUGGCGAUGGCAGAGACCAAAGGUCAAAGAGGGCGGCGCCUAGGGUUUCAGUCUCUGAAACCCUAGGCAGAUUUUUUUUUUGGGAAGGAUGGGCUAGGGUAUUGGGCUGGUUUUGUACUUGGGCUUGUGGGUUAUUGGGGCCUGUUGGGUUUGUAAUGUAAUUGGUUUUUUUUUAUUUUUUAUUUUUAUUUUGUUGGGUUUUGGGUAUUAUUUGGGUUAGUUGGGCCCCGGGCGAAGUGGGCUUGUACAAUGUCUCUUUGGGAUUAUCGUGUGGCGUAUCUGGAAGAAUCGGAACCUGUUCAUUUUCCAAGGUAUUACAUGGACUAUUGACGAGAUUAUUAAAAUCUCAUACAGUUGGGCGAGACAAUAUUUCUCUAUUUCAAGGAUUUCAUCUCAUAAAGUAAUUGGCCUUUACUUAAUAGCUAGGUGAGUUUGAGCACAAAUGGUUUCGUGAGGUUUGAUGAAGGCUUCGCUGCAGAUGGUGGCUGUGUGAGAGACCAUAAUGGUGAGUGGAUCAUUAGGUUUGCCAAAUAUUUGGGCAAUUACACCGCUUUGGAGGCAGAGAUUUGGGGAAUACUAAAUGGGCUGAACCUUAUUCUGGAUAGACAUUUCGGAAAAAAUCCUAAUCCAAAUUGAUAAUAUUGAA
rnacentral:lncRNA from 1 species